GCCUAUCAUGCCAGUCGAGCGAACUGAUUAGAAGCUUGCUUCUAUGACGUUAGCGGCGGACGGGUGAGUAACACGUGGGCAACCUGCCUGUAAGACUGGGAUAACUUCGGGAAACCGAAGCUAAUACCGGAUAGGAUCUUCUCCUUCAUGGGAGAUGAUUGAAAGAUGGUUUCGGCUAUCACUUACAGAUGGGCCCGCGGUGCAUUAGCUAGUUGGUGAGGUAACGGCUCACCAAGGCAACGAUGCAUAGCCGACCUGAGAGGGUGAUCGGCCACACUGGGACUGAGACACGGCCCAGACUCCUACGGGAGGCAGCAGUAGGGAAUCUUCCGCAAUGGACGAAAGUCUGACGGAGCAACGCCGCGUGAGUGAUGAAGGCUUUCGGGUCGUAAAACUCUGUUGUUAGGGAAGAACAAGUACGAGAGUAACUGCUCGUACCUUGACGGUACCUAACCAGAAAGCCACGGCUAACUACGUGCCAGCAGCCGCGGUAAUACGUAGGUGGCAAGCGUUAUCCGGAAUUAUUGGGCGUAAAGCGCGCGCAGGCGGUUUCUUAAGUCUGAUGUGAAAGCCCACGGCUCAACCGUGGAGGGUCAUUGGAAACUGGGGAACUUGAGUGCAGAAGAGAAAAGCGGAAUUCCACGUGUAGCGGUGAAAUGCGUAGAGAUGUGGAGGAACACCAGUGGCGAAGGCGGCUUUUUGGUCUGUAACUGACGCUGAGGCGCGAAAGCGUGGGGAGCAAACAGGAUUAGAUACCCUGGUAGUCCACGCCGUAAACGAUGAGUGCUAAGUGUUAGAGGGUUUCCGCCCUUUAGUGCUGCAGCUAACGCAUUAAGCACUCCGCCUGGGGAGUACGGUCGCAAGACUGAAACUCAAAGGAAUUGACGGGGGCCCGCACAAGCGGUGGAGCAUGUGGGUUUAAUUCGAAGCAACGCGAAGAACCUUACCAGGUCUUGACAUCCUCUGACAACUCUAGAGAUAGAGCGUUCCCCUUCGGGGGAAAAGAGUGACAGUGGUGCAUGAUGUCGUCAGCUCGUGUCGUGAAGAAUGUUGGGUUAAGUCCCGCAACGAGCGCAACCUUGAUCUUAGUGCAGCAUCAGUGGUCACUCCUUAAGUGACUGCGUGAACAAACGGAGGCACGUGGAUGACGUCCAACUCAUCAUGCCUAUGACCUGGCUACACACUUGCUA
rnacentral:rRNA from 2 species